UACGGGGGGGGCAAGCGUUGUUCGGAAUUACUGGGCGUAAAGGGCGUGUAGGCGGCCAACUAAGUCCGACGUGAAAUCCCCAGGCUUAACCUGGGAACUGCGUCGGAUACUGGAUGGCUUGAAUCCGGGAGAGGGAUGCGGAAUUCCAGGUGUAGCGGUGAAAUGCGUAGAUAUCGGGAGGAACACCUGUGGCGAAGGCGGCCCCCUGGUUGGAUACUGACGCUGAUACGCGAAAGCGUGGGGAGCAAACAGG
rnacentral:rRNA from 1 species